rnacentral:rRNA from 1 species
UACGUAGGGGGCGAGCGUUAUCCGGAAUUACUGGGCGUAAAGCGCACGCAGGCGGUUCGCCAAGUUUGGAGUGACAGUUGUCGGCUCAACCGACAAAGGACUUCAAAAACUGGUGAACUUGAGGACGAGAGAGGAACAUGGAACUCCGAGGUGUAGUAGUGAAAUGCGUAGAUAUCGGAAGGAACGCCGGUGGCGAAAGCGACGUGCUGGACCUCUUCUGACGCUGAGGCGCGAAAGCCAGGGGAGCGAACGGG